rnacentral:rRNA from 1 species
GACAGAGGUGCCGAGCGUUAGGCGGAAUCACUGGGCUUAAAGCGUGUGUAGGCGGAUGGGUAAGUACCUUGUGAAAUCCCACGGCUCAACCGUGGAACUGCUCGGUAUACUGCUCGCCUUGAGCCAACUAGGGGCGACCGGAACAAACGGUGGAGCGGUGAAAUGCGUAGAUAUCGUUUGGAACGCCGAUGGUGAAAACAGGUCGCUGGGGUUGUGCUGACGCUGAGACACGAAAGCCAGGGGAGCGAACGGG